CGGUAGCCCUUUUUCGUUAUUUGUUUAUUUGUUAUAUUCUUAUUUAAUUCAUUGUUCAAUAAUUAGAAUUCACGUUAAAUGUAUAAAAUUUGAUAAAUAAAAGAUUUAGCAUCAAAAUAGCAUGGACAUUAGCUGAAUCAAAAUGAUACCAACAAUUGCAUACAAUUUCCUGAAGCGUAGAUAGGUUAUCCGCUACGCAAGCACACGCUGUAAUGAGUAUCACUGUUCGUGCUCUCGUUACCUUGUUAGAGAACCCCGAAGUAGUUAGCUUCUGAAUAGUUGACUUUGUAACGGAAUGAGAUGAAAAGACAAUUCAAAGGCAAGGGAGAUUUCUUUAUCCGAAAUCAUACAGACCUGAUCAACGGAGACCUUCGGGCUUCCAUUUCCGGGAACCAUACCGUGAGAUCCUAUCUGAGGAAUCACAAAGAUAUUCUCGUCCACUUUGUCCCAGAUCGUGGUAGAAGAAGGAUCGCGAAGUAGUGUCUUUCCCGUGGUGUGAUUUUGUGAGUUAACUUAAACGUGAAGAGUACUUCAACGAGUAUUAAUUGUCUCUGUGUAUCCCCGUUUAGACCAAAAGUUCAAUAGCUAGGUUGUGCGGUGAAUUGUGCGUGUUGAACCCGAGUACCAAGUUCAAAGCCAAGCGCGAGCGACGGCUAUACCUCUACUCCAAAAAUAGCACGUACAUCGCACAAAGCGAAGAACGAGAGCGUCUCGCCCACCACCUUACGUCGCGCAUCCACCCUGCGUCCUGGGGCCAAAGUUUGCCCGGCGAUUCCAGGCCGGAAGGGAGUCGCGAACGUCACCAACGCACUCCGAAGGCAAGCGACAUUCGCCAAUCGUCCGCUCGUUUGGUCACGAGCACGAGAAACACUCCACGAAGCUCGUGCGUGGCCGUGAAUCGAAUUCACCGUAGAGGUACCGAUCUACCAAUCGUCGACACUAUCGUCAACGUCAUCGGCGUCGUCGUAGAAAGCACCCGAUCGAAAGCUCGUGAGUACGUUCCACUAAAUUUUGCAUGCAAGUGAAUUAGCACCUACACACACAAAAGCGCUAGCGUAGACCACAACCGCACAAGAGAGGGCCAUAGUUUGGAAAGGGGAAGAAGAAGGAAGGCCGGUCGGACGCGACCGUAGAAAUGCAUAGGUUAUCAAAUUGAUUCAGGCCAUGAUUAUCCUAGGUUAUCAAAUUGAAUAAAUGUUGAAUAUAUAGUUCUUGUUUUCCUCAAAAAACAUGUGUUAGUUAGUGAUCGUUAAGAAAGUUCAAGUACAUUUCACGUUUCGUUCCGUAUUUUUUUGGUCCGUCUUGUUGUAACAUCCAUCUUCCAAAACGGAAUGGGAUUGAAGUGGUUGGGGAAUCUUUGCCCGUGAUGAGAACAUGAUAAGGUCGAGUUCUGGGAUAUCGGUCGUUUGGGGGAAUUUGUUGGUUAUGUCUGUGUGGCUUCCGCUAUUGAAGUAGAGUCCUUGUAUGAUGAGUCUGCUCGCUUGUUCCCGCGCAUUGUUGAUUAUUCCGAAGCUGACUCUUCGGUCAGUAUUUAGCCGGGCAUCGUAGAAAACGACGGGUGGUCCUCCUAGGAGGUGGCGCUUAAG